rnacentral:rRNA from 1 species
GAUGGGAGCUUGCUCCCUGAUGUUAGCGGCGGACGGGUGAGUAACACGUGGGUAACCUGCCUGUAAGACUGGGAUAACUCCGGGAAACCGGGGCUAAUACCGGAUGGUUGUCUGAACCGCAUGGUUCAGACAUAAAAGGUGGCUUCGGCUACCACUUACAGAUGGACCCGCGGCGCAUUAGCUAGUUGGUGAGGUAACGGCUCACCAAGGCGACGAUGCGUAGCCGACCUGAGAGGGUGAUCGGCCACACUGGGACUGAGACACGGCCCAGACUCCUACGGGAGGCAGCAGUAGGGAAUCUUCCGCAAUGGACGAAAGUCUGACGGAGCAACGCCGCGUGAGUGAUGAAGGUUUUCGGAUCGUAAAGCUCUGUUGUUAGGGAAGAACAAGUGCCGUUCAAAUAGGGCGGCACCUUGACGGUACCUAACCAGAAAGCCACGGCUAACUACGUGCCAGCAGCCGCGGUAAUACGUAGGUGGCAAGCGUUGUCCGGAAUUAUUGGGCGUAAAGGGCUCGCAGGCGGUUUCUUAAGUCUGAUGUGAAAGCCCCCGGCUCAACCGGGGAGGGUCAUUGGAAACUGGGGAACUUGAGUGCAGAAGAGGAGAGUGGAAUUCCACGUGUAGCGGUGAAAUGCGUAGAGAUGUGGAGGAACACCAGUGGCGAAGGCGACUCUCUGGUCUGUAACUGACGCUGAGGAGCGAAAGCGUGGGGAGCGAACAGGAUUAGAUACCCUGGUAGUCCACGCCGUAAACGAUGAGUGCUAAGUGUUAGGGGGUUUCCGCCCCUUAGUGCUGCAGCUAACGCAUUAAGCACUCCGCCUGGGGAGUACGGUCGCAAGACUGAAACUCAAAGGAAUUGACGGGGGCCCGCAC